GGUGUGCUGGAGUCAGGGCAGAUCCACACCAGCUGCACCUCAUCUCUGCAAUCAAGCCUUUACAAAGACUCAGCUCUACCAUGUCCACACUGACAGAUUGUAGCUUCUGCACUACGGUGCUGUCUGCUCUGGUUCCAGACGCUGUCUCCAGCCCCUCGUCUUGUCUCGUCAGCCCUGCUUUCCUGCCCUGGACUCCCGCUCUUCCCAGUUUCCAGCCCAAGCCCCAGCCCCAGUUACCAGUCCAAGCUUCCCCAGGCCUGCAUUCCAGUCCCCUAACCUUCAAAAUAAAUACCUUGUUGCUAUUAUA